AUUGAACGCUGGCGGCAUGCUUUACACAUGCAAGUCGAACGGCAGCGCGGGCUUCGGCCUGGCGGCGAGUGGCGAACGGGUGAGUAAUAUAUCGGAACGUACCCAGGAGUGGGGGAUAACGUAGCGAAAGUUACGCUAAUACCGCAUACGUCCUAAGGGAGAAAGUGGGGGAUCGCAAGACCUCAUGCUCAUGGAGCGGCCGAUAUCUGAUUAGCUAGUUGGCGGGGUAAAGGCUCACCAAGGCAACGAUCAGUAGCUGGUCUGAGAGGACGACCAGCCACACUGGAACAGAGACACGAUCCAGACUCCUACGGGAGGCAGCAGUGGGGAAUUUUGGACAAUGGGGGCAACCCGGAUCCAGCAAUGCCGCGUGAGUGAAGAAGGCCUUCGGGUUGUAAAGCUCUUUUGUCAGGGAAGAAACGACUCCUUCUAAUACAGGGGGUUAAUGACGGUACCUGAAGAAUAAGCACCGGCUAACUACGUGCCAGCAGCCGCCGUAA
rnacentral:rRNA from 1 species